rnacentral:rRNA from 1 species
AACGAACGCUGGCGGCGUGCCUAAGACAUGCAAGUCGAACGGUAAGGCCCCUUCGGGGGUACGACGAGUGGCGCAAGGGUGAGUAACGCGUGGGUAACCUGCCUUCGGGUUUGGGACAACUUCGGGAAACUGGAGCUAAUACCGGAUAAGACCACGGAAUCUCCGGAUUCUGCGGAAAAAGGUAAAGCCUCUUCAUGAAAGCUACCGCCUGGAGAUGGGCCCGCGUGCCAUUAGCUAGUUGGUGAGGUAACGGCUCACCAAGGCAUUGAUGGCUAGCUGGUCUGAGAGGAUGAUCGGCCACACUGGAACUGAGACACGGUCCAGACUCCUACGGGAGGCAGCAGUCGGGAAUCUUGGGCAAUGGGCGAAAGCCUGACCCAGCAACGCCGCGUGAGGGAUGAAGGCCU